UACAGGGGGUGCAAACGUUGCUCGGAAUUAUUGGGCGUAAAGCGCACGUAGGCGGUUCGUUAUGUCGGAUGUGAAAGCCCUUGGCUUAACCGAGGAAGUGCAUCCGAAACUGGCGAGCUAGAGUACGAAAGAGGAUCGCGGAAUUCCCGGUGUAGAGGUGAAAUUCGUAGAUAUCGGGAGGAACACCGGUGGCGAAGGCGGCGAUCUGGGUCGAUACUGACGCUGAGGUGCGAAAGCGUGGGGAGCAAACAGG
rnacentral:rRNA from 1 species